UGUGAAUUGCAGCAGGAGACACGACUUGCCGACUCCUGUGAAUGAGAUUAUAGACAAGAUUUUUAUCGUCGGAAGAAGCUGUUGACAUUAGCAAGACGAUGCAAAGAAAAACCCAAGAGGGGUUAGUCGAAAGAAAAAAUGAAGGAAGUGUGAAUAUUGGUGAAUGCAAUGACAUGAAAACAAUGGGAGCUGUCACGGCAACGUAAUACAGACAGAUGAUCGGGAUUCUGAAAGAGUUUGUCGAGUCUCCAACAACUUACCCGUAUCACCGAUGAUAAUGUAUUUGAAAAGGUAAGCGUAAGACAUUUCAAAUUCUACAAAGUUCGUCAAAACACGGUAAUUUUCAAAGUACACGACGAGGGAAGCGUAGUA